ensembl:lncRNA
CUUUUUUUUUUUUCACCCCCAAGUCAACAGUUCUGAGUGUGGUUUGUGCACUAUGGAACAAUCGGAGCCGAUGGUGCAGACUAUUUCUCCAGUUACCACAAGAUGGCAUUGCACUGGAGGGUAUGUUCUUUCUUGGACCUUGUUAUUUUUUCACCUGGAAUUACAGAUAAAAGUAACUUUAAAAAUGUGUCUUUGAAGAGAUGUAUGUGCGCUAUUAGAUGAGAUUCAGGCAUACAUCUGUACUUUUGAAUGGCAGUCUGGUCAAUACGUACCUGCUGAUCCUUGUGCUCUCCUCAGUUUUGUUCUUAUGCAGUGAACUCUUUGAGUUCUUUCGGUUAAUAUUUGUACAAAAUUCCAAAGCUUUCAUAUAAAUGGCUAGGAGUGGACGGACACAAUUGCUAGUAUUUCUUACACUUCCAAAGUUACCUUGAGAGUUUAUGAUUACUGUGUGUCACUAGAACAGCAGAAGGCGUGCAUACCAGGAUUUGUUGUUUCAUCUGAUAGCCUGGACUUGCUAAGAAAAAAAAAGAGAAGAGAAGAGAAGAGAAGAGAAGAGAAGAGAAGAGAAGAGAAGAGAAGAGAAGAGAAGAGAAGAGAAGAGAAGAGAAGAGAAGAGAAGAGAAGAGAAGAGAAGAGAAGAGAAGAGAAGAGGAGAAGAGAAGAGAAGAGAAGAGAAGAGAAGAGAAGAGAAGAGAAGAGAAGAGAAGAGAAGAGAAGAGAAGAGAAGAAAAGAAGCGAAAAGAAAAGAAAAGAAGUGAAAAGAAAAGAAAAGAAAAGAAAAGAAAAGAAAAGAAAAGAAAAGAAGUGAAAAGAAAAGAAAAGAAAAGAAAAGAAAAAAGAAAGGAAAAGAAAAGAAAAGAAAAGAAGCGAAAAGAAAAGAAAAGAAGCGAAAAGAAAAGAAGCGAAAAGAAAAGAAAAGAAAAGAAAAGAAAAGAAAAGAAAAGAAAAGAAAAGAAAAGAAAAGAAAAGAAAAGAAAAGGAAAGAAAAGAAAAGAAAAGAAGAGAAAAGAAAAGAAGAGAAAAGAAAAGAAGCGAAAAGAAAAGAAAAGAAAAGAAAAGAAAAAUAAGCCCUUAAUAUAGCAAUUCACUUUCUGGGAACUGUUGUUUAGAGCUAAAUUCCAGCUUUCUUAUGUAUUCUAGGAAUUGUAAUUUGCUAUAUGAGUGCUUGCAAAUCAGUAAACAGGUCUGUUUGUUUGCUGUACGGGGAUCAUUGCCAGGAAACUUUACACUCAGUACACUUGGUCUGAAACUCAGUUCAAAGCACCGUGUUGCCCCUUACUGAAGUCUGACUACACAGUCACUACAGCUGUAUACAGUGAUGGCAGAGCACCACACACUGCUGUACAGAGUGGUGGACGGGACAUCUCUGAGCUUGUGAUUUCACAGUGUGGUUGGUAAGGUGGUAAUCUGAAGAAUAUCUGGGUGGAUUUGUAAACCGAGCAGGAUUUUAAAACGGGAUCAUGGGUAUUUUGGGAGACUAUCUGAUUGCAGAACUGGUUUCUGAGAGUCUCUCUGUAGUAAUCAGAGUCACACUUGGAGCUUAUAACUAUCAAUUUAUAGCAGAGAAUUACAGGCAGACACACAGUUUCACUGAAGUGUGUAGAUGUGUGUACUACUGAAAAUGUCGGUUUUUUAAAGGAUAGAAGAGUGAUAUCAAAGUCCAAUUGCAGAAACUGUGUUCAGGAAAUAAAUACCUCGUGUUUGCUCCAGCUUUCCUAACAGAUUUUUGUAGCAAUUAUUCUAAAGGAUGAAUUUUUAGAAAUGUUUAUUUAUUUGGGUCAUCUCUUCUUCCGGCCACCUGGCUUUAGAAUCUGAAAUAUCACAUUUCUCCAACUGUGGCUGGAUUUGGGAGUGCUCAGCACUCACUUAAAGGACUUGAAAUCAGUUCCUCCUAGCUGUAGAUCCUUUCCGUCCAUGGAUACUUGACCAGUUUCAAUCAUACCCUUCUUACCCAACUUACUGUCUCUACAGUGUGAAUGAUCGUAAUACACAACUCAGUGUUUGUGCCUGUGUAGCGUGCUUAAUUCCUUAGUGCUUGCUUACUUUCUGUACAGCAGAUGGUCAGACAGAAGUUGGCUGCUGUGGCAGAGUGCAAGGUUCCUUUGUGGUGAGAAAAGCUUUGUUUUGUUUCUGUGUUUAUUUGGUGCUUCUUACUACAGUUGUAUCCUGCAUGAACAGCAUAAGAUGGCAGAGUGUAAUUUGCAGGAGCACUUUGCCAAAAGAGUAAUAGAAAGCAUAACACAGGAUGCAAUGCACCAAAUGAACCACAACAUCAGUAAGCUAUAAUGUGUCUUAACCCUGCUUAGCUUUUAUUUUUAUUCAGCUGGGGUACAACUUAAGCCUCGUAUUCCUUAAGAACUGCUCUAAAAACAGCAUUCACACCUUACUGUUCGUGAUAGAACUAAUGUAGAUUUACUCUUCAAACUUUUGCUGAUUACCUCUGGAUGGCACUAGAUGUAGUUGCAAGAUGAUUCUUAAACCUGCUGAAAGGAUUAUUAUGAAGAACACUUUUAUCAGGGAAACUCAAAGUGCUGGUAAUUUUGGCAAAUAGUAGAAAGUACCCUUGAAAUACGCACACUGUCUCCAAAUGAGGCAGUGAUCCCUUGAUUUUGUUCGGUAUGCUUUAAAAGGAAAUUUACAUGGUAGAAUUUCUUCCUGUGAUGGAGAAGUUAGCUCACUGAAGCUAAAUUGAGAACAACAGUUUGUAGAUCUAAUUUGCUACCCAAUACUUUUUUUAUCCUGAUUUUGAAAGGUAUGGUAUUUCUUGGGGUAUGCAGGUGCUUUUGUAGUCCAAGUAAGAAAGCGUAGGAAUGAAAACCAUUUGGUUAAAGAAAGGCACUUUCCUGUUCACUACUUCAUGUAAUGUGAAAGAUAAAUGUCACGAUUAAGCACAAUGCAGAGACCUAAUCCACUAUCUUUUAUCAGACAAGAUGCUUUACUUCAGCAGUAAAAAAGAAAAGGUUGGUGGUUACAAUUUAUGCUACUUAAAAAAGUUAUGUUACCCGUUACAAAUAACGGAUAGUUCCUUCCCAUGGUUUCACCAACAUAAGGCCUUGAGGUAGGAAUGGAUUAAAGGACCUGCCUUUAUCUAAGCAUGUGGAUUUUUCCAUUGAAGGUAUUACCUGUACACACGUGAUUAAAAGCUUUUCUGCUCCAUUUGUCAAUUCUCCUAUCAGAUAAUUUAAUGUUGUAUUAGCAGAAUGAUGUAUUUGUGAAAGAGGGGACUCAGGAGGCUGUAAAUAAAGUUCUAAAUCCUAAAACUGGGUAAUUGGAAAUACAGUUACAAGUGGAUACCCAGAAGAGUCAGAUUUUUGGUUCUGAAGCCAGAUAUAGAUAGCUGAUGAGAUAGCACUCAAAUCUGGAUGCCUAUAGGCCUUGUGGAAAGUAAUUGGUAGCACAUAAUCUGUUUUGAUCUGCUCACUGGCUGCGAUUGUGUGGUUUCAUUGAACUGAUUUUGGGUAAACAAAACGUAAGCUGAGCUAAUUUAAGGCCUUCCCAAGUGCAUAAUGCCUAUCUUGCUAUGCAUUAGGGAAUCAAGCUGAAAUUUGAUUGUGACAUGUUUUUCUUUUUUAUGAGCUUUACAGUGACCUGAUUUUUUGAGAAAGUUUUCUUGUAGCAUGGUUUUAGUAUGAGAAAUCACAGCGAUGGUGUGACUUUCUUUUGUUAGAUGUGUUUUAGGAGAAUUCAAAGAACUGAGUGGGAGCUUUAUCAGACAGUGAUGAGAAGAAUGGCAAUGUAGUAACAUAUUUUUUUUCCAGGGUCAGUCUUUCUUAUCACCUUUCUAGAGUAUGCCUACUCUUUGGCAUAAGAUUGUUUCUGCAAGUUCUUUUAAAAACACUGAACAGAUUUCCUUCUUUUACAAGAAACCUGUCAUGCACAGAAAUUUGUCCUGGAUUAAGUUUACACUUGCAACCAGAAGAACAAAAACAGUUCCUCUGUUCUUGUGUGGGGUUCGUGGCAGGAAACGUCUCCAAUAGUAGGAGUGAUAAGGUGUAGGUAAACUAUGUAACAGCCUUCAUCCAUGGUACAAAAGGUUUGCCAUAGCCACUACUGAUUUUUGUGGCAGAGAGACACAAGGCAAAUCAAAUGGACAUGAGGGUUCAAUACCAUGUAUGUGAGAUUAGCAUAAGCCUACCUAUGCUUGCUGAGAGCGACUGUGGCAGCUCCUAUGUUUUAAUGCUUUGUGAGCCAGAAGCCACCCAUUUUCCAGUAGUUGCCUGAAAAGAGAGUUCUUGGGCAGCAUUUUUGAUAAUAAACUUCAGCCUUUUAUGUGCGUGUUGAAAUACUGUAUACAUGUUAUUAAGUUUAUGUGGAUAACAGCGUUCACAUGAGCAAGUGUCAUGGUUGACAGCAAGAUAGAUUUGAAUAUUGAUUUUUGCCGAAGGAAGAAGGCUGAGAUCUGAUCUCAAGGCAAAACAAUGCAGUGCAUUUAGGACCAUGAUUCCUCAGUGACUUACUGGGAACCUCCAGCAUGGGGCUAGUUGUAAAUUCAAGCAUCAUUUCAUACACAUGCCACAACUAUUUCAGACAGCACAGCCACCUCAAUCCCAGUUGCAGGAUGAAAUGGAGAUGUAUGCUGAGACGCUGCUUCUCAAAGAGAUCUGCAAAGCCAUGGCUCUCAGCAAGGAAAGGGCUCCCCAUACCCAGUUUAUAACCUUAUCCUCCGCAUUUCCAUUCAUCUGUGAGGCUGAUCAGUCAGGACGGGGUUUUGUUUUCAGUUUGUUUUCAGACUGUUUUGUUCCUAAAGCUACCUUUGACACCAGCGUGAUGAAAUAUACAUUGAAGAUGGUGUGAUCAUGUGUGGGGAAUAUGCAUGCAGGUCCCGCCACGAGGCAGCAGAAACAUCUGUGUGUGUGACUGCCUCCUACAAGGUACUUUGAUAAUGUACCCUGUAGGUGUCCAAGUAAACGAUACUAAGUGUUGUGUUUCAAAUCUGAUGUUUCAAUUACAUUGGUUUCACUCACUUCAAGGUCUUGCUAAUACAUAUUCAGUUGACAGUUAUCAAUGAAAGGGAAAAAAAUCUUGCUUUAGAUGUUGCUACACACAGGAAAAUGGUACUUGAUAAGUAUAAUCCAAGGUAUUAGGGAGGUUUUCAAACACAUGUAACCACAG